rnacentral:rRNA from 1 species
UGGGGGAUAUUGCACAAUGGGGGAAACCCUGAUGCACCAACGCCGCGUGAAGGAAGACGGUUUUCGGAUUGUAAACUUCUGUUCUUAGUGACGAUAAUGACGGUAGCUAAGGAGAAAGCUCCGGCUAACUACGUGCCAGCAGCCGCGGUAAUACGUAGGGAGCGAGCGUUGUCCGGAAUUACUGGGUGUAAAGGGAGCGUACGCGGGAGAUCAAGUCAGAUGUGAAAACUAUGGGCUCAACCCAUAACCUGCAUUUGAAACUGUUCUUCUUGAGUGAAGUAGAGGCAGGCGGAAUUCCGAGUGUAGCGGUGAAAUGCGUAGAUAUUCGGAGGAACACCAGUGGCGAAGGCGGCCUGCUGGGCUUUUACUGACGCUGAGGCUCGAAAGCAUGGGGAGCAAACAGGAUUAGAUACCCUGGUAGUCCAUGCCGUAAACGAUGAUUACUAGGUGUGGGGUGGCUGACCCAUUCCGUGCCGGAGUUAACACAAUAAGUAAUCCACCUGAGUAGUACGGCCGCAAGGUUGAAACUCAAAGGAAUUGACGGGGGCCCGCACAAGCAGUGGAGUAUGUGGUUUAAUUCGAAGCAACGCGAAGAACCUUACCAGGUCUUGACAUCCGACUAACGAAGUAGAGAUACAUUAGGUGCCCUUCGGGGAAAGUCGAGACAGGUGGUGCAUGGUUGUCGUCAGCUCGUGUCGUGAGAUGUUGGGUUAAGUCCCGCAACGAGCGCAACCCUUAUUCUUAGUAGCCAGCAGGGAAAGCUGGGCACUCUAAGGAGACUGCCGGGGAUAACCCGGAGGAAGGUGGGGAUGACGUCAAAUCAUCAUGCCCCUUAUGAUCUGGGCUACACACGUGCUACAAUGGCGUAACAAAGGGAAGCGAGCCUGCGAGGGUGAGCAAAUCCCAAAAAUAACGUCCCAGUUCGGACUGUAGUCUGCAACCCGACUACACGAAGCUGGAAUCGCUAGUAAUCGCGAAUCAGAAUGUCGCGGUGAAUACGUUCCC